AUGGCGGGGGCAGCGGCUGCCAUAUGCAGAGACAAGCAUGGCAACUACUUGGGGGCAUCAGCAGUUACUUUUGAUGGCCUAGUGGAUGCGGAAAGUCUUGAAGCCCAUGCGUGCAGCGAGGCACUAGCACUGGCGAGGGAUCUCCAUAUCUCACAUGCGAUAAUAGCAUCUGACUGCAUGCAGAUGGUGUCCGACAUCAAUGGAAGAUCGUUUUCAUCUUAUGCACUAGUCAUAGAUGAAGUGAAGGAAUCAAUGAAUGAUUUUGUUAAAGUUAGUUUUGGAUAUGAGUGUAGGGAAGCAAACUUUGAAGCUCACGCCAUUGCAAAGGCGGCUUCAGCUUUCCCUCCCGGUCGCCGGUUGUGGAUAGGGAUUCUCCCAGACAUUGCUUGUAUUGCUUCGGCUUUGAACGUUGAAUAA
rnacentral:rRNA from 1 species